GGGCGAAAGCCUGAAGCAGCAACGCCGCGUGAGGGAUGAAGGCCUUCGGGUGUAAACCUCUUUCCCAGGGACGAUGAUGACGGUACCUGGGGAAUAAGCCACGGCUAACUACGUGCCAGCAGCCGCGGUAAUACGUAGGUGGCAAGCGUUGUCCGGAUUUACUGGGCGUAAAGAGCGCGCAGGCGGCCGAGUCAGUCGAAUGUGAAAGCCCCCGGCUCAACUGGGGAGGGUCAUUCGAUACUGCUCGGCUUGAAGAUGGGAGAGGGAAGCGGAAUUUCAGGUGUAGUGGUGAAAUGCGUAGAUAUCUGAAGGAACACCAGUGGCGAAGGCGGCUUUCUGGCCCAUUCUUGACGCUGAGGCGCGAAAGCUAGGGGAGCAAACGGGAUUAGAUACCCCGGUAGUCCUAGCCGUAAACGAUGAACACUAGAUGUUGGUGGUAUCAACCCCGCCAGUGUCGUAGCUAACGCAUUAAGUGUUCCGCCUGGGGAGUACGGCCGCAAGGCUA
rnacentral:rRNA from 1 species